rnacentral:rRNA from 1 species
CAGUCGCCGCGGUAAAACGUAGGGUGCAAGCGUUAAUCGGAAUUACUGGGCGUAAAGCGUGCGCAGGCGGUUAUAUAAGACAGAUGUGAAAUCCCCGGGCUCAACCUGGGAACUGCAUUUGUGACUGUAUAGCUAGAGUACGGCAGAGGGGGAUGGAAUUCCGCGUGUAGCAGUGAAAUGCGUAGAUAUGCGGAGGAACACCGAUGGCGAAGGCAAUCCCCUGGGCCUGUACUGACGCUCAUGCACGAAAGCGUGGGGAGCAAACAGGAUUAGAGACCCCCGUAGUCCCUGUCUCUUAUAC